rnacentral:rRNA from 1 species
AUUGAACGCUGGCGGCAGGCCUAACACAUGCAAGUCGAACGAGUGGCGGACGGGUGAGUAAUGUCUGGGAAACUGCCUGAUGGAGGGGGAUAACUACUGGAAACGGUAGCUAAUACCGCAUACCAUCGGAUGUGCCCAGAUGGGAUUAGCUAGUAGGUGGGGUAAAGGCUCACCUAGGCGACAAUCCCUAGCGGGUCUGAGAGGAUGACCGGCCAAACUGGAACGGAGACACGGUCCAGACUCCUACGGGAGGCAGCAGUGGGGAAUAUUGCACAAUGGGCGCAAGCCUGAGGCAGCAAGGCCGCGUGUGUGAAGAAGGCUUUCGGGUCGUAAAACACUUUCAGCGGAGAGGCGUUACCCGCAGAAGAAGCACCGGCUAACUACGUGCCAGCAGCCGCGGUAAUUC